AUAAUAAAGGCUGUUCGCUGUGCCAACGUUUCUAACACAUGCAGCUUCCUGGAAGGGCUGAUAAAUGACUCCUGCACAAUUUUUCAAGGCUAUUAACUUGAGUGUCUUUUUAUUCAGUCUCAUUACUUUUUAAACAGCCAUAGGAAGUCACAAGGAGGUUUCUAAAAUCCAAACAUCUCUGGAAGGGUCAAAAUGAAGAGUGCCUGCAGAUGACAUCAACUUUGCCAAGGGGGUUCCGGCUAGAGGAGGUUCUCUUUGAGACGGUGCAGGAAUGACAGGACAAGAAAUGUGACUUCAAAGCUUCCCAGUAGGCAUCUGGAAGACAGAUUCCCUGUGAAAAUGCCAAAACUGGCAUCAUACUCUCAUCAUCCAGACUUCACUUCCUUAUUAGAUGGCAGUUGUGUUAUUAAGAUGAAACCCAUACUCCACCAGCAUUGUUGAAUAGAGGACUUGUAAAUAAUAGAUAGCUUAUAUGGUCCCAUCAAGGCACAGAGAGAGCAAAAGAUGAAAGUGAUUUUCACCAUGCAUGCACACCGCGGUAUUCCAUUGACUUUGAGUUGACAUUUGAUCUGAAAGUAAAGAGAUAAUUUUGACAUCUGCUGCUGAUCAAAGCAUUGGAUGGUGAAUUGUUUGCCUUGUAGUUCUCUAUGUGGCAUCCCCAUCUAAACAGGUAUUCCACACUGGACCUGCUACUAUCAUUAGUGAAGGUUAAGACUGUUCCCAAUACACUUCACAUAUUCAAAACCUAUAAUCAUAUGCAGAUACCGCAGUCCUUAACUGCUUCAUAACCAAGCAUACAGUACAUACUUAUUAUUUCUCAGCUUCGCUCCGACGUUAACAUUAAAUCAAAACCUACUCAGAAAUUAUU